rnacentral:rRNA from 1 species
UUAAUUGAAGAGUUUGAUCAUGGCUCAGAUUGAACGCUGGCGGCAGGCCUAACACAUGCAAGUCGAGCGGAAACGACACUAACAAUCCUUCGGGUGCGUUAAUGGGCGUCGAGCGGCGGACGGGUGAGUAAUGCCUAGGAAAUUGCCCUGAUGUGGGGGAUAACCAUUGGAAACGAUGGCUAAUACCGCAUAAUGCCAGGAUGAUCAGCCACACUGGAACUGAGACACGGUCCAGACUCCUACGGGAGGCAGCAGUNGGGAAUAUUGCACAAUGGGCGAAAGCCUNAUGCAGCCAUGCCGCGUGUAUGAAGAAGGCUUCGGGUUGUAAAGUACUUUCAGUUGUGAGGAAGGGGGUAACGUUAAUAGCGUUAUCUCUUGACGUUAGCAACAGAAGAAGCACCGGCUNGCACAAGCGGUGGAGCAUGUGGUUUAAUUCGANNCAACGCGAAGAACCUUACCUACUCUUGACAUCCAGAGAAGCCAGCGGAGACGCAGGUGUGCUUCGGGAACUCUGAGACAGGUGCUGCAUGGCUGUCGUCAGCUCGUGUUGUGAAAUGUUGGG